UUCUUAUGUUCGGCAGAAGAU
rnacentral:snRNA from 1 species